UGAUGAUGAAGUCCAUGAUGUUCAUCUGAAAGUGAUCUUAUGAGUUUACUCACACACAGAUGGUGUACGGUGGCCCUGAAGCUGAAAUAUCCCGACAAAAACAUCAAAACUCCAAACAAGAAAAUGCAUCAACACCACAAAGGGCGUCCCGGCUCCUUUCCAGGCGAGACACCUCCCUCUCUGCCUCCUCGCACCUGCCCGCUCGCUCCUGCAGCCUCUCCGCCUCCUCGCUGACCACCUUGAGCUGCGUCUCCAGACUGGCCAAUCGGGAGCCGGAGUCAGUGAUGCUCUGGUGCAGCAGACGGUUCUUCGCUUCCACGUCACGGACUCUGGCCUCACUGUUGGACUGAGCGCGCUCCUGAAGGGACGCCACCGCCUCAGACAGGUGCUGCUUCUCACUCUCCAGCUCUGAGAUCUGAUUGGACGAGCAGAAAGAGCGUGCAUCUCCCGUUCCAGACUCUGCUUCUCCUUCAGUAACUCCUCCCCCAGAGACUCCAUGUCCUGAGUGGUCAGCCUCUCCUGGUCCAGUAAUCCCUGCAGACGCUCCAGCUAACAAACAAAUAUGAAUAAAUC